rnacentral:misc_RNA from 1 species
UUCCUUCGCUUGUCCUUGAUAUAAUUAUCACACUGUAGUUUCCGUGAAACCUACUCGUCAGCACGAAUUUUUUAAAUAACAAAAACGCUCGUCUCCGUGUCCCCAAGUCGGUGCGUACCUCAUUCCGUUUUUCGUGCUCGUCGGCGAUAAAUAAAUUUAAGUGAUUAAAUUAAAAUGUCGAAACGAUCUAGUUCCUUUGUUCGCCGGGAUAAAAGUGGUGAAAUAAAACGUUUAAAAAGACAAUUAAAAGAUAUGCAGGAGCAAUUAACCAAUAUUCUAAGUUCAUCUAGUUCCAGCGAGGAAUCACCAGUUCCCAGAUAUCAGGUGAUUUUCAGUACACAUGCACUCCAACGGAAUGAGGUACGCACCGACUUGGGGACACGGAGACGAGCGUUUUUGUUAUUUAAAAAAUUCGUGCUGACGAGUAGGUUUCACGGAAACUACAGUGUGAUAAUUAUAUCUACGGACAAGCUCGGAAAAUUAUAAUUAAUCCUCC